CGGGGUGCAGCAGGCGCGAAAACUUUACAAUGCGGGAAACCGUGAUAAGGGGACACCGAGUGCCAGCAUCAUAUGCUGGCUGUCCGGGUGUGUAAACUACACCUGUUAGCAAGGGCCGGGCAAGACCGGUGCCAGCCGCCGCGGUAACACCGGCGGCCCGAGUGGUGAUCGUGAUUAUUGGGUCUAAAGGGUCCGUAGCCGGUUUGGUCAGUCCUCCGGGAAAUCUGACGGCUCAACCGUUAGGCUUUCGGGGGAUACUGCCAGGCUUGGAACCGGGAGAGGUAAGAGGUACUACAGGGGUAGGAGUGAAAUCUUGUAAUCCCUGUGGGACCGCCUGUGGCGAAGGCGUCUUACCAGAACGGGUUCGACGGUGAGGGACGAAAGCUGGGGGCACGAACCGGAUUAGAUACCCGGGUAGUCCCAGCCGUAAACGAUGCUCGCUAGGUGUCAGGCAUGGCGCGACCGUGUCUGGUGCCGCAGGGAAGCCGUGAAGCGAGCCACCUGGGAAGUACGGCCGCAAGGCUGAAACUUAAAGGAAUUGGCGGGGGAGCAC
rnacentral:rRNA from 1 species